rnacentral:lncRNA from 1 species
UUUUUUCCUUUUUGCUGGGAGGCAACUGCCCAGGUUCGCCCCUGUGAAGCUCUGUCGUUGCAUGCUAGUACUCUGGAUACUAUGUCAACUAGAUUGUUGAUUGUUUGUGUGGGCAAAGCAACCAAAGUUGUUGAUCGGUAUUAUAUAUCCUCUCUUUUCAGGGAAAUCAUGAUGGUUACUGGAACAAUCUUCCUUCUAAUGAUCCCAUUUUGUUAACUUAAAAACAUAUUUGUUAACUUAAAACAGAUUUCCUGACUGAAUGUUUUUGUGAUUUAAAGGUACCGAGGAAUGUUUAAAGGCUACAUUGGUGUUUCUAGUAUGGAGAAGCAACUUCAACUUGGGAUACAGAUUCACCAGCAUAUGUACAUGCAUCUCAUAGAGGGAGAGCUCUUGCAUGGAUGUAAGACCAUUUUGCUUCAGUCAGUUAUAGAUUUUAGAGUGAUGAUUUGCUUAAAUUCGUUUCCAUUCAUAAAAUCAACAUCCAAUGAAAUAUGAGCAAAUUAUUUACCUCUAUUAUUGUAAUUCAGAGCUAUGACAACCAUAUCAAUAGAUUUAGUAUAUUUUGAUCGAUUAGUUUCUUCUGCUAUUUUCUGCGGCUCAAAUUCAGCUGAAGCUUUACAGAACUAGGGGAACACUAAUCCAUAGAGCUAUCCUUUCCUUUGCUUCGUUUUUCCUGUAGAACAGAGUAAGCAUGAUCUGAGUAGUGUGUACACAACACAUCGCUUAACUGGCCAUGUACGUAAUAUAAUCUAUUUGAGACACGGCUAACAAGUUGAUUUACAUGAGCAUGCACAUGUAUGUUUUCACAACCGGGACCAUGUCUUGCAGAUCCUUGAAAAGAGCCAAGAACCACUAAAUUUGUGUGCUUAGCAACAUGCAGAUCAUGUAAGUUUUCUGAAAUUAACUUCGGAUUAUACAAACUUUGUAUGUUCCUGCAAUUCUGAUGUUCAAAUGCCUGCUUUUGCGAUGAGCUUUAUGUGUGGUGGUAUGUAUGGUUCUGCUGCUUCAGUGCGAAGCAUGAUCAUAUUAUUGCCAGGGCUAUGUGUGCUGUGGGGAGGGAUUGCAUUCUCUUGUCCUGUCCAUAUUGUGCACAUUAUAAUUAUGCUUCCAAAAUUCUACUAGAAUACUCGAGCCUUAUAACCAUGUGCUAAACUGCUUGUCAUCAUAAUUUCAGGACCAUAAUGUCACUCUGGAUGCUUCUCCACAAGAUUUGAUUCUGGAGCCUAACGCUGGUGUUGCAGGGAUGUUUGGAUUUUUAUUGAUAAUGCAUCUGGAACUACCUCAGCUUGUCACUCCUUGGAAGCCAACCUCUUGAUAGUUAAUGAUGUCGGGUGCAUGUACAGAUAGCAUGUUGUAACAAGUUUAUUUGAUACUCGGCGUGACCAACAAAUGCUUGUACAUGUUGGUCACGGUGUUCUACUUGCAAUGACUAACUUGUCAUAGCUUAUUUUUUGAAUUUGGCCUUUAGUUGACUACAUAUCUGAUGUAUGCGUUCAUUGAUUAUGAAUCUGAUGUGGUGCAUAAUGAAUUUUGGAUGUGAUUUACAAAUUUGAAAUUUCGCUAUGAUUUAAUUUUUUGAAUUAUGGUUGAU